rnacentral:lncRNA from 1 species
ACUCAAACAGCACCACCAACAAGAUCAACAGGAUGCACUCUUUCUCUCAGAAAAUGAAGCUACAACUUCAAUACAUUCACUAUAUAUAUGUUUAGCUUUCAAGCUUCCCUCUCCUUUUCUGAAACUGAUAUCAUUUCUGUUUUCAGAAUAUUUGACCUUCUCUGCUCAAGUGACAGCAAGGGCAUUCCAUUGUUUCUGUAUUGCUGCGUAGUCCUCAAUGUAUCUAAUGCAGAGCUCAGAGGCUUUCUCCUGAAACAC